AGUCUUCAAGUAAAGGCCAGAUGACUACUUACAGACUAUGAUGUAAACAUAUUUUUUAUUAUUCUUAUCAGAUAUAGAUUGGACUGGAUGGCAUCAAAGAUAUCUUCCAACUCUGAAGUCUUAUGAUUCUGAUUCUAAACAGCUGGAGCAAAGUUGAAGAGGCAGGAUUAGAGAGAAAAAUGCCAAAACGUCUCUUCAAGAUAUUUUUGCUGUCACCUAUUACAAAUAUCCAUUGUCACUGGUUUAUCACUAUCAUAUUAAGGGGCUACAAUCAACUUUACUUGUUCUCAGAUCCAGAUGGCUGCCAGGAGAGUUUCAAGCAAAUGAACUAUGCAUCAGAUUCUCAUUGGUUUCACAUAUGAUCAAGAAACCACUACUUCUCAGUGCCUCUAGGACAGGGAUUCUUAACUUUGGAUGUGUGGACCUCCAAGGAAUCUAUGAAUAAAUUUCAGGGGGUCUGUGAACUUGGAUGGGGA
ensembl:lncRNA